rnacentral:rRNA from 1 species
UUAAGCGACUAAGCGUACACGGUGGAUGCCCUGGCAGUCAGAGGCGAUGAAGGGCGUGCUAAUCUGCGAUAAGCGCCGGUAAGGUGAUAUGAACCGUUAUAACCGGCGAUACCCGAAUGGGGAAACCCAGUGUGUUUCGACACACUAUCAUUAACUGAAUCCAUAGGUUAAUGAGGCGAACCGGGGGAACUGAAACAUCUAAGUACCCCGAGGAAAAGAAAUCAACCGAGAUUCCCCCAGUAGCGGCGAGCGAACGGGGAGGAGCCCAGAGCCUGAAUCAGCAUGUGUGUUAGUGGAAGCGUCUGGAAAGGCGCGCGAUACAGGGUGACAGCCCCGUACACAAAAGCGCAUGUGCUGUGAGCUCGAUGAGUAGGGCGGGACACGUGGUAUCCUGUCUGAAUAUGGGGGGACCAUCCUCCAAGGCUAAAUACUCCUGACUGACCGAUAGUGAACCAGUACCGUGAGGGAAAGGCGAAAAGAACCCCGGCGAGGGGAGUGAAAAAGAACCUGAAACCGUGUACGUACAAGCAGUGGGAGCACCCUUUGGGGUGUGACUGCGUACCUUUUGUAUAAUGGGUCAGCGACUUAUAUUCUGUAGCAAGGUUAACCGAAUAGGGGAGCCGGAGGGAAACCGAGUCUUAAUUGGGCGUUAAGUUGCAGGGUAUAGACCCGAAACCCGGUGAUCUAGCCAUGGGCAGGUUGAAGGUUGGGUAACACUAACUGGAGGACCGAACCGACUAAUGUUGAAAAAUUAGCGGAUGACCUGUGGCUGGGGGUGAAAGGCCAAUCAAACCGGGAGAUAGCUGGUUCUCCCCGAAAGCUAUUUAGGUAGCGCCUCGUGAAUUCAUCUCCGGGGGUAGAGCACUGUUUCGGCUAGGGGGCCAUCCCGGCUUACCAACCCGAUGCAAACUGCGAAUACCGGAGAAUGUUAUCACGGGAGACACACGGCGGGUGCUAACGUCCGUCGUGAAGAGGGAAACAACCCAGACCGCCAGCUAAGGUCCCAAAGUCAUGGUUAAGUGGGAAACGAUGUGGGAAGGCCCAGACAGCCAGGAUGUUGGCUUAGAAGCAGCCAUCAUUUAAAGAAAGCGUAAUAGCUCACUGGUCGAGUCGGCCUGCGCGGAAGAUGUAACGGGGCUAAACCAUGCACCGAAGCUGCGGCAGCGACGCUGAUGCGUUGUUGGGUAGGGGAGCGUUCUGUAAGCCUGCGAAGGUGGCCUGUGAGGGUUGCUGGAGGUAUCAGAAGUGCGAAUGCUGACAUAAGUAACGAUAAAGCGGGUGAAAAGCCCGCUCGCCGGAAGACCAAGGGUUCCUGUCCAACGUUAAUCGGGGCAGGGUGAGUCGACCCCUAAGGCGAGGCCGAAAGGCGUAGUCGAUGGGAAACGGGUUAAUAUUCCCGUACUUGGUGUUACUGCGAAGGGGGGACGGAGAAGGCUAUGUUGGCCGGGCGACGGUUGUCCCGGUUUAAGCGUGUAGGUGUGUGUUCCAGGUAAAUCCGGUUCACUUUAACACUGAGGCGUGAUGACGAGGCACUACGGUGCUGAAGCAACAAAUGCCCUGCUUCCAGGAAAAGCCUCUAAGCAUCAGGUAACAUCAAAUCGUACCCCAAACCGACACAGGUGGUCAGGUAGAGAAUACCAAGGCGCUUGAGAGAACUCGGGUGAAGGAACUAGGCAAAAUGGUGCCGUAACUUCGGGAGAAGGCACGCUGACACGUAGGUGAAGUGAUUUACUCAUGGAGCUGAAGUCAGUCGAAGAUACCAGCUGGCUGCAACUGUUUAUUAAAAACACAGCACUGUGCAAACACGAAAGUGGACGUAUACGGUGUGACGCCUGCCCGGUGCCGGAAGGUUAAUUGAUGGGGUCAGCGCAAGCGAAGCUCCUGAUCGAAGCCCCGGUAAACGGCGGCCGUAACUAUAACGGUCCUAAGGUAGCGAAAUUCCUUGUCGGGUAAGUUCCGACCUGCACGAAUGGCGUAAUGAUGGCCAGGCUGUCUCCACCCGAGACUCAGUGAAAUUGAACUCGCUGUGAAGAUGCAGUGUACCCGCGGCAAGACGGAAAGACCCCGUGAACCUUUACUAUAGCUUGACACUGAACAUUGAGCCUUGAUGUGUAGGAUAGGUGGGAGGCUUUGAAGUGUGGACGCCAGUCUGCAUGGAGCCGGCCUUGAAAUACCACCCUUUAAUGUUUGAUGUUCUAACGUGGACCCGUGAUCCGGGUUGCGGACAGUGUCUGGUGGGUAGUUUGACUGGGGCGGUCUCCUCCUAAAGAGUAACGGAGGAGCACGAAGGUUGGCUAAUCCUGGUCGGACAUCAGGAGGUUAGUGCAAUGGCAUAAGCCAGCUUGACUGCGAGCGUGACGGCGCGAGCAGGUGCGAAAGCAGGUCAUAGUGAUCCGGUGGUUCUGAAUGGAAGGGCCAUCGCUCAACGGAUAAAAGGUACUCCGGGGAUAACAGGCUGAUACCGCCCAAGAGUUCAUAUCGACGGCGGUGUUUGGCACCUCGAUGUCGGCUCAUCACAUCCUGGGGCUGAAGUAGGUCCCAAGGGUAUGGCUGUUCGCCAUUUAAAGUGGUACGCGAGCUGGGUUUAGAACGUCGUGAGACAGUUCGGUCCCUAUCUGCCGUGGGCGCUGGAGAACUGAGGGGGGCUGCUCCUAGUACGAGAGGACCGGAGUGGACGCAUCACUGGUGUUCGGGUUGUCAUGCCAAUGGCACUGCCCGGUAGCUAAAUGCGGAAGAGAUAAGUGCUGAAAGCAUCUAAGCACGAAACUUGCCCCGAGAUGAGUUCUCCCUGAGACUUAGAGUCUCCUGAAGGAACGUUGAAGACGACGACGUUGAUAGGCCGGGUGUGUAAGCGCAGCGAUGCGUUGAGCUAACCGGUACUAAUGAACCGUGAGGCUUAACCU